rnacentral:rRNA from 1 species
CCUACGGGUGGCAGCAGUGGGGAAUAUUGCACAAUGGGCGCAAGCCUGAUGCAGCCAUGCCGCGUGUGUGAAGAAGGCCUUCGGGUUGUAAAGCACUUUCAGCGGGGAGGAAGGCGGUGAGGUUAAUAACCUCAUCGAUUGACGUUACCCGCAGAAGAAGCACCGGCUAACUCCGUGCCAGCAGCCGCGGUAAUACGGAGGGUGCAAGCGUUAAUCGGAAUUACUGGGCGUAAAGCGCACGCAGGCGGUCUGUCAAGUCGGAUGUGAAAUCCCCGGGCUCAACCUGGGAACUGCAUUCGAAACUGGCAGGCUAGAGUCUUGUAGAGGGGGGUAGAAUUCCAGAUGUAGCGGUGAAAUGCGUAGAGAUCUGGAGGAAUACCGGUGGCGAAGGCGGCCCCCUGGACAAAGACUGACGCUCAGGUGCGAAAGCGUGGGGAGCAAACAGGAUUAGAUACCCCGGUAGUC